UUCAUUAUCAUCACAUGACUUGUGUUCUUAUGGAUCCCAUCUCUCAUCAGUCUAAUACACAGUAAACACUUCACUAAUAUUUGCAAGCAAUCAUUGCUUCGGAUAUCUCAUAUCCUUUAGCUUCUGCUUGUAUUUGAAAAACUAUUUUUUUAGUUCCAUCUAGCGAGUUUGCCGGUUGUGAAGAUGGCUGUCAUCACAGGUUGUGUUUUUUUUCUAUUUCCUUUUACUUGUUUGUUGCUUGAUGUCUAUAAUUUGGUUCCUCGGCACUCUGUAUCGUCUAGCCGCUUGACUUUAUUUAUAAAGUGGCGCAAAAGUCUAUUCAGUAUGGGGGAUAUUAGGACUCCUUUUUCAGGUUCUUAUAUACCUAUUGCAGUCUUUCUCUUUCCAUCAUAACAAUUGGCUAUCUUGUCAUGACAGAAUUC
rnacentral:lncRNA from 1 species